GACAGAGGGUGCAAACGUUGUUCGGAAUUACUGGGCGUAAAGCGCGUGUAGGCGGCCCUGCAAGUCGGAUGUGAAAUCCCACGGCUUAACCGUGGAAGUGCAUUCGAAACUGCAGGGCUAGAGUCCUGGAGAGGAAGGUGGAAUGCUUGGUGUAGAGGUGAAAUUGGUAGAUAUCAAGCGGAACACCGGUGGCGAAGGCGGCCCACUGGAUCGGUACUGACGCUGAGGUGCGAAAGCGUGGGGAGCAAACAGG
rnacentral:rRNA from 1 species